rnacentral:rRNA from 1 species
AUACGGAGGAUCCGAGCGUUAUCCGGAUUUAUUGGGUUUAAAGGGUGCGCAGGCGGGAGAUUAAGUCGGCGGUGAAAUUUUGCAGCUCAACUGUAAAAGUGCCUUCGAAACUGGUUUCCUUGAGUGUAUAUGAAGUAGGCGGAAUUUGUGGUGUAGCGGUGAAAUGCAUAGAUAUCACGAGGAACUCCGAUUGCGCAGGCAGCUUACUAAACUACUACUGACGCUCAGGCACGAAGGCGUGGGGAUCAAACAGGAUUAGAUACCCUGGUAGUCCACGCAGUAAACGAUGAUUACUAGCUGUUUGCGAUACAAUGUAAGCGGCUGAGCGAAAGCGUUAAGUAAUCCACCUGGGGAGUACGUUCGCAAGAAUGAAACUCAAAUGAAUUGACGGGG